rnacentral:rRNA from 1 species
CCUACGGGCGGCAGCAGUGGGGAAUAUUGGACAAUGGGCGAAAGCCUGAUCCAGCCAUGCCGCGUGUGUGAAGAAGGCCUUCGGGUUGUAAAGCACUUUCAGUGGGGAAGAAAGCCUUGGGGCUAAUACCCUCGAGGAAGGACAUCACCCACAGAAGAAGCACCGGCUAACUCCGGGCCAGCAGCCGCGGUAAUACGGAGGGUGCGAGCGUUAAUCGGAAUUACUGGGCGUAAAGCGCGCGUAGGCGGUCUGAUAAGCCGGUUGUGAAAGCCCCGGGCUCAACCUGGGAACGGCAUCCGGAACUGUCAGGCUAGAGUGCAGGAGAGGAAGGUAGAAUUCCCGGUGUAGCGGUGAAAUGCGUAGAGAUCGGGAGGAAUACCAGUGGCGAAGGCGGCCUUCUGGACUGACACUGACGCUGAGGUGCGAAAGCGUGGGUAGCAAACAGGAUUAGAUACCCUAGUAGUC